AUGCCUUUAUACACCAUGCCAUGCCCACCGCCACCAAGGAUCCGAUUAUGGUCAAAUUUGUUGGUUGCUUGCUCUAGCUCGUGUAAGCUGAAAAUCUUCAUCUUUUCGGCUAUAUCUUUGUUUGAAGAGAUCAACUGUUGCAGAAGCAAUCCAUGGUUUUUCCUAAAGAACUUUUGUCUAAACUUCUUGGCUCUUCGUUUCUUGAGUUUUUUCAUGACUUGGGCAACACCUAGGAGUGAAAACAGUAGGCCAAAACCAACAACAAUUGCUGUUAUGGUAAAUGGACCUGCAGAAAACAAACGUAAGAUUGAGAACAAUAUUUGUUGUGUUCACUUCAAGAAGUCAAGCUACUACAUUAAAUCUAUUUUAGACUUCUCAAAUAUGCGAUGA
rnacentral:rRNA from 1 species